rnacentral:rRNA from 1 species
UACGUAGGGCGCAAGCGUUGUCCGGAAUUAUUGGGCGUAAAGAGCUCGUAGGCGGCUUGUCACGUCGGAUGUGAAAGCCCGGGGCUUAACCCCCGGGUCUGCAGUCGAUACGGGCAGGCUGGAGUUCGGUAGGGGAGACUGGAAUUCCUGGUGUAGCGGUGAAAUGCGCAGAUAUCAGGAGGAACACCAAUUGCGAAGGCAGCUCGCUGGGACGUUACUGACGCUGAGACGCGAAAGCGUGGGGAGCAAACAGG